GACGAACGCUGGCGGCGUGCUUGACACAUGCAAGUCGAACGGAAAGGCCCUGCUUUUGUGGGGUGCUCGAGUGGCGAACGGGUGAGUAACACGUGAGUAACCUGCCCUUGACUUCGGGAUAACUUCAGGAAACUGGGGCUAAUACCGGAUAGGAGCUCCUGCUGCAUGGUGGGGGUUGGAAAGUUUCGGCGGUUGGGGAUGGACUCGCGGCUUAUCAGCUUGUUGGUGGGGUAGUGGCUUACCAAGGCUUUGACGGGUAGCCGGCCUGAGAGGGUGACCGGCCACAUUGGGGCUGAGAUACGGCCCAGACUCCUACGGGAGGCAGCAGUGGGGAAUAUUGCACAAUGGGCGGAAGCCUGAUGCAGCAACUCCGCGUGCGGGAUGACGGCCUUCGGGUUGUAAACCGCUUUCGCCUGUGACGAAGCGUGAGUGACGGUAAUGGGUAAAGAAGCACCGGCUAACUACGUGCCAGCAGCCGCGGUGAUACGUAGGGUGCGAGCGUUGUCCGGAUUUAUUGGGCGUAAAGGGCUCGUAGGUGGUUGAUCGCGUCGGAAGUGUAAUCUUGGGGCUUAACCCUGAGCGUGCUUUCGAUACGGGUUGACUUGAGGAAGGUAGGGGAGAAUGGAAUUCCUGGUGGAGCGGUGGAAUGCGCAGAUAUCAGGAGGAACACCAGUGGCGAAGGCGGUUCUCUGGGCCUUUCCUGACGCUGAGGAGCGAAAGCGUGGGGAGCGAACAGGCUUAGAUACCCUGGUAGUCCACGCUGUAAACGGUGGGUACUAGGUGUGGGGUCCAUUCCACGGGUUCCGUGCCGUAGCUAACGCUUUAAGUACCCCGCCUGGGGAGUACGGCCGCAAGGCUAAAACUCAAAGGAAUUGACGGGGCCCCGCACAAGCGGCGGAGCAUGCGGAUUAAUUCGAUGCAACGCGUAGAACCUUACCUGGGUUUGACAUGGAUCGGGAGUGCUCAGAGAUGGGUGUGCCUCUUUUGGGGUCGGUUCACAGGUGGUGCAUGGCUGUCGUCAGCUCGUGUCGUGAGAUGUUGGGUUAAGUCCCGCAACGAGCGCAACCCUUGUUCACUGUUGCCAGCACGUUAUGGUGGGGACUCAGUGGAGACCGCCGGGGUCAACUCGGAGGAAGGUGGGGAUGACGUCAAGUCAUCAUGCCCCUUAUGUCCAGGGCUUCACGCAUGCUACAAUGGCUGGUACAGAGAGUGGCGAGCCUGUGAGGGUGAGCGAAUCUCGGAAAGUCGGUCUCAGUUCGGAUUGGGGUCUGCAACUCGACCUCAUGAAGUCGGAGUCGCUAGUAAUCGCAGGUCAGCAACGCUGCGGUGAAUACGUUCCCGGG
rnacentral:rRNA from 1 species